rnacentral:misc_RNA from 1 species
UGGCUCUCGCAUCGAUGAAGAACGCAGCGAAAUGCGAUACGUAAUGUGAAUUGCAGAAUUCAGUGAAUCAUCGAAUCUUUGAACGCAUAUUGCGCCUUCUGGUAUUCCGGAAGGCAUGCUUGUUUGAGUAUCAGUAAUAACCCCUCAGCUUUUAGUUGUUGUGUUACCCCCCCUUCUUCUUGCAAAAGGAGAAAUGGGGGGUGACCAAAAAGCUGGAUUUGAGCAACUUAACUUCCCUCAAUCAAUCAAUCUUGAUACGGGGGAUGCUCGAAAUACAUGGUUCGGCCAAGACAGUUGUGGGCUACAAGCAUUUCAUACUUGAUCCCGUCAAACGGAUUAUAACCCUUUGCUGCAGCCUAUUUUGCAACUUGAUCGCGUGCUCGACUGAUGCAGGAAGUUUUUGGGGUGUGUUCAGACUCGCGUCUGGAACGCACAACACAAAACAUUGAACCUCGAUCUCAAAUCAAGUAAGACUACCCGCUGA